rnacentral:lncRNA from 1 species
GUUUGUGGGUAACUUCACUGCAAACCCUCACGAGACAACACUCGUCCACUAGGGUAACCUAGGGGUUUAAAGGCUUGUUGCACGUGCUAAGUGCAAUCGUAAUGCUCUACGAAAAUGAGUAUUUAUUUUACUAUUUUUAAAUAAUAAAUUACACUUUUGCACUCUCAUUUUAUCAUUUUCACACUAAAUUGCUAGAGACUAGCAAUAAGCUAGUUGGGGGGUGUGAUGAGAGCACAAAAGUGCGACCUACAUGUCACCUAAAUUAGUAUUAUUGCUAACCGAUAAUGAUAAAUUCACUGGAUUAAUAUUAUAUUUGGGUUUGGCACAGAUUUUCAUAAAUUAGAAAUAAAAUGCACAUUAAGUACAAAUUUGACUAAAAAAGGAGCCCUUCCCAGAUCUGACCCGGUUGAAGAUCGGGUCGGGUCCGAGUCGGGUUUGGGUCCGAAU